UACAGAGGUCUCAAGCGUUGUUCGGAUUCAUUGGGCGUAAAGGGUGCGUAGGCGGUCGGGUAAGUCUGAUGUGAAAUCUCGGAGCUCAACUCCGAAACUGCAUUGGAUACUAUUCGGCUUGAGGUCUGGAGGGGGGACUGGAAUUCUCGGUGUAGCAGUGAAAUGCGUAGAUAUCGAGAGGAACACCGGUGGCGAAGGCGAGUCCCUGGACAGGUCCUGACGCUGAGACACGAAAGCUAGGGGAGCAAACAGG
rnacentral:rRNA from 1 species